CGUCUCUCGGCGCUCUCGUCGGUCUCAUUGCUGCACUUGGUUAGGUGAGUGUCUCUGUAGGUUUCGUAGGUCUUAAGUGUUUGGUGUUUUUGUACGUUAUGCGAAUACAGCAUAGCACGCGCAAUACCUUCUGUGUUGUAGCUGUCUGGCCAGGAUGACGGGCCGUUGAGGUCUUGGGCUUGGCCUCGAGGCUUCAAAGCAGCAUCGGGCCUUUAUGAAGGACAAAAUGGCGUUGGCGGGCGGUGCAGGUGGCCCUCUCUAUGAUGAGGAACAUUUCACAGACCUGUACUGAGCUCCGUGAGGAUAAGUUAACUCUGAGGAGACGGGCCCUGCAAACCUCCUACUUAGCCGUCGCUUCUGAAAAUAGCGUUUUGGAAAUAACCCUGUGCUGACAUAAUGUCGUCUUGGGCUCUCGUUUGCAGGGUUUACGCGCACGUUUGAGUCGAAAAGAAAUCUAUCGUUACAGUAAGUUUUUAUGGCCAUUUCUUAGUCUCUGCUGUUUGUGUGUGUGGAAGUCGCUACGGGGAUGAUUUUACUAACUGAACUCUCUCUUUCUGAUGGAUUAGUGGAGAAAACACAUUUCUGAGUAGCACUGUACUAUAAGCAACAAACGUCAGGGGCCUACUGAAUUCAUUCUGAGGUGUUACUGAAGGGUGUUAUUUUGCAGAUGUUCAGCCCACAAGAGCUUACUGGUGAAGAAACGGGACAAGACCCAUCUUUCGGCAAAGCCAACGUUACAGUAAUGCUCCAGCAUCUCACAGUCUAUCCUGAGGAAUUCAGAUGCCUCCCAGGGUGAAUACAGGUAGUCCUGCUGAUAGUCUGCUUCUAUCUUACAGUAAGUUGCUUUUCGAAUUGUGUGAGUCUAUUAUCCAACUUGGCCAUCUUGAUACUUGUUUCCAAAGGCUGCUUAACCCAUAAAGUUUGCUGGCUUCUCUUGUUCUCUGUAGUGAUCUUUCAAAGCCUCCCCUUUUUUCUCUCAGAUACCCACUACCCAGGAUCAGACAAAUGCUUUUCAGUUGUAGCUUUCUCCAGGGUUCAGCCUUACCCCCGCGCCCCCCCACCCCACGUUAAAGCUUGGGAACAAAUUGUGAACCCACCAGUGUUGACUGGAAGAGAGCAUGAAAGCUUGUUCCAUAAGGAACUGUCUGGGGCAUUUGGUUACCUUUUCUUAGCUUGUCCCUAG
rnacentral:lncRNA from 1 species